rnacentral:rRNA from 1 species
UGGUGGAGCGAUUUGUCUGGUUAAUUCCGAUAACGAACGAGACUCUGACCUACUAAAUAGUUGGCAGUUCAAUACGACUGCAAAACUUCUUAGAGGGACUAGCGGUGCUAACCGCACGAGAUAGAGCAAUAACA